GUAGGGAAUAUUGCGCAAUGGACGAAAGUCUGACGCAGCGACGCCGCGUGAGUGAUGAAGGCCUUAGGGUCGUAAAGCUCUGUUGAAUGGGAAGAAAAAAAUGACGGUACCAUUCGAGGAAGGACCGGCUAACUUCGUGCCAGCAGCCGCGGUAAUACGAGGGGUCCUAGCGUUGUUCGGAAUCAUUGGGCGUAAAGGGUGUGUAGGUGGCCAUGUAAGUCAGGUGUGAAAGCCCCGGGCUCAACCCGGGAAGUGCACUUGAUACUGCGUGGCUUGAGUACCGAAGAGGGUAGUGGAAUUCCAGGGGUAGUGGUGAAAUACGUAGAUAUCUGGAGGAACACCGGUGGCGAAGGCGGCUACCUGGUCGAGUACUGACACUGAGACACGAAAGCAUGGGGAUCAAACAGGAUUAGAAACCCGGGUAGUCC
rnacentral:rRNA from 1 species